GUGCACAGGGCUCUGACCUAUGAAUUGACAGCCAGUGCUGUCAGCUCCCCUCUGGCUGCCAAUUCCAUAGGUCACAGGUAUGUUCGCC
ensembl:miRNA microRNA 192